rnacentral:tRNA from 1 species
UGUGGCUCACUAUAGAGCACUUGUCUAGUAGGCAUGAGACCCUGGGUUCAAUUCCCAGCA